GCUAGGUUGCACAUUCUUCUUCUACAUCACUCCUAAAUAAAGCAAACAGUACUGGAUUUUUCAUACCCCCUUCACUGGUGUGUGCUUCAUGGAUACUAAUGGAAAAACCUCAAACUCACUCCUGCUGCUAAAGUCCACUCCUGUAUCCCAGCAGCCGUUCUUCCCUUCUGUGUCCACUGCCUAUGACAAAUCAAAGUCUUCCACUGCUCACUUGGGGUCUGAGAGAACUGUUUACUCUCACUACCCACUUCUUUGAGCUAAUCCAUGUCAAGAUGGAGACCUCCCUGGAACCAUGCACCAAUGAAUGUGAUGGAUACCAUGAAUUUUUGCAAAAGAGAGUGUCCUAAAAAGUUCUAUCAUUCUCACCCCUUCCAAUCCCCCUU